UACGGGGGGUGCUAGCGUUAUUCGGAAUCAUUGGGCGUAAAGGGCGCGUAGGCGGUCGCUUAAGUCAGAUGUGAAAGCCCUCGGCUUAACCGAGGAAGUGCAUUUGAUCCUAAGUGACUUGAGUAUGGGAGAGGGAAGCGGAAUUCCUGGUGUAGCGGUGAAAUGCGUAGAUAUCAGGAGGAACACCGGUGGCGAAGGCGGCUUCCUGGACCAAUACUGACGCUGAGGCGCGAAGGCGUGGGGAGCAAACAGG
rnacentral:rRNA from 1 species